GACGAACGCUGGCGGCGUGCUUAACACAUGCAAGUCGAACGGUAAGGCCCUUCGGGGUACACGAGUGGCGAACGGGUGAAUAACACGUGGGUGAUCUGCCCUGCACUUCGGGAUAAGCCUGGGAAACUGGGUCUAAUACCGGAUAGGACCAUUGCCUGCAUGGGUGGUGGUGGAAAGCUUUUGCGGUGUGGGAUGGGCCCGCGGCCUAUCAGCCUGUUGGUGGGGUGAUGGCCUACCAAGGCGACGCCGGGUAGCCGGCCUGAGAGGGUGACCGGCCACACUGGGACUGAGAUACGGCCCAGACUCCUACGGGGGGCAGCAGUGGGGAAUAUUGCACAAUGGGCGCAAGCCUGAUGCAGCGACGCCGCGUGAGGGAUGACGGCCUUCGGGUUGUAAACCUCUUUCAGCAUCGACGAAGCGCAAGUGACGGUAGGUGCGGAAGAAGGACCGGCCAACUACGUGCCAGCCGCCGCGGUAA
rnacentral:rRNA from 1 species